rnacentral:rRNA from 1 species
ACCGUACUCCUACGGGAGGCAGCAGUGGGGAAUUUUGGACCAUGGGGGCAACCCUGAUCCAGCAAUGCCGCGUGAGUGAAGAAGGCCUUCGGGUUGUAAAGCUCUUUUGUCAGGGAAGAAACGGUAGUAGCUAAUAUCUAUUACUAAUGACGGUACCUGAAGAAUAAGCACCGGCUAACUACGUGCCAGCAGCCGCGGUAAUACGUAGGGUGCAAGCGUUAAUCGGAAUUACUGGGCGUAAAGCGUGCGCAGGCGGUUGUGUAAGUCAGAUGUGAAAUCCCCGGGCUCAACCUGGGAAUUGCAUUUGGGACUGCACGACUAGAGUGUGUCAGAGGGGGGUAGAAAUCCACGUGGAGCAGUGAGAUGCGUAGAUAUGUGGAGGAAUACCGAUGGCGAAGGCAGCCCCCUGGGAUAACACUGACGCUCAUGCACGAAAGCGUGGGGAGCAAACAGGAUUAGAUACCCGAGUAGUCCUUGAC